GUCCAGACGGUAGGAUGGGAGUGGUAUCCUUUUUCUUGCUCCUUUAGCAAGGAAAAGAUAAAACGUACAGCGGGACGGGUG
rnacentral:sRNA from 1 species